rnacentral:rRNA from 1 species
AUUCUGUAGCAAGGUUAACCGAAUAGGGGAGCCGGAGGGAAACCGAGUCUUAAUUGGGCGUUAAGUUGCAGGGUAUAGACCCGAAACCCGGUGAUCUAGCCAUGGGCAGGUUGAAGGUUGGGUAACACUAACUGGAGGACCGAACCGACUAAUGUUGAAAAAUUAGCGGAUGACCUGUGGCUGGGGGUGAAAGGCCAAUCAAACCGGGAGAUAGCUGGUUCUCCCCGAAAGCUAUUUAGGUAGCGCCUCGUGAAUUCAUCUCCGGGGGUAGAGCACUGUUUCGGCUAGGGGGCCAUCCCGGCUUACCAACCCGAUGCAAACUGCGAAUACCGGAGAAUGUUAUCACGGGAGACACACGGCGGGUGCUAACGUCCGUCGUGAAGAGGGAAACAACCCAGACCGCCAGCUAAGGUCCCAAAGUCAUGGUUAAGUGGGAAACGAUGUGGGAAGGCCCAGACAGCCAGGAUGUUGGCUUAGAAGCAGCCAUCAUUUAAAGAAAGCGUAAUAGCUCACUGGUCGAGUCGGCCUGCGCGGAAGAUGUAACGGGGCUAAACCAUGCACCGAAGCUGCGGCAGCGACACUGUGUGUUGUUGGGUAGGGGAGCGUUCUGUAAGCCUGUGAAGGUGUGUCGUGAGGCAUGCUGGAGGUAUCAGAAGUGCGAAUGCUGACAUAAGUAACGAUAAAGCGGGUGAAAAGCCCGCUCGCCGGAAGACCAAGGGUUCCUGUCCAACGUUAAUCGGGGCAGGGUGAGUCGACCCCUAAGGCGAGGCCGAAAGGCGUAGUCGAUGGGAAACGGGUUAAUAUUCCCGUACUUGGUGUUACUGCGAAGGGGGGACGGAGAAGGCUAUGUUGGCCGGGCGACGGUUGUCCCGGUUUAAGCGUGUAGGUGUGUGUUCCAGGUAAAUCCGGUUCACUUUAACACUGAGGCGUGACGACGAGGCACUACGGUGCUGAAGCAACAAAUGCCCUGCUUCCAGGAAAAGCCUCUAAGCAUCAGGUAACAUCAAAUCGUACCCCAAACCGACACAGGUGGUCAGGUAGAGAAUACCAAGGCGCUUGAGAGAACUCGGGUGAAGGAACUAGGCAAAAUGGUGCCGUAACUUCGGGAGAAGGCACGCUGACACGUAGGUGAAGUGAUUUACUCAUGGAGCUGAAGUCAGUCGAAGAUACCAGCUGGCUGCAACUGUUUAUUAAAAACACAGCACUGUGCAAACACGAAAGUGGACGUAUACGGUGUGACGCCUGCCCGGUGCCGGAAGGUUAAUUGAUGGGGUCAGCGCAAGCGAAGCUCCUGAUCGAAGCCCCGGUAAACGGCGGCCGUAACUAUAACGGUCCUAAGGUAGCGAAAUUCCUUGUCGGGUAAGUUCCGACCUGCACGAAUGGCGUAAUGAUGGCCAGGCUGUCUCCACCCGAGACUCAGUGAAAUUGAACUCGCUGUGAAGAUGCAGUGUACCCGCGGCAAGACGGAAAGACCCCGUGAACCUUUACUAUAGCUUGACACUGAACAUUGAGCCUUGAUGUGUAGGAUAGGUGGGAGGCUUUGAAGUGUGGACGCCAGUCUGCAUGGAGCCGACCUUGAAAUACCACCCUUUAAUGUUUGAUGUUCUAACGUGGACCCGUUACCCGGGUUGCGGACAGUGUCUGGUGGGUAGUUUGACUGGGGCGGUCUCCUCCUAAAGAGUAACGGAGGAGCACGAAGGUUGGCUAAUCCUGGUCGGACAUCAGGAGGUUAGUGCAAUGGCAUAAGCCAGCUUGACUGCGAGCGUGACGGCGCGAGCAGGUGCGAAAGCAGGUCAUAGUGAUCCGGUGGUUCUGAAUGGAAGGGCCAUCGCUCAACGGAUAAAAGGUACUCCGGGGAUAACAGGCUGAUACCGCCCAAGAGUUCAUAUCGACGGCGGUGUUUGGCACCUCGAUGUCGGCUCAUCACAUCCUGGGGCUGAAGUAGGUCCCAAGGGUAUGGCUGUUCGCCAUUUAAAGUGGUACGCGAGCUGGGUUUAGAACGUCGUGAGACAGUUCGGUCCCUAUCUGCCGUGGGCGCUGGAGAACUGAGGGGGGCUGCUCCUAGUACGAGAGGACCGGAGUGGACGCAUCACUGGUGUUCGGGUUGUCAUGCCAAUGGCACUGCCCGGUAGCUAAAUGCGGAAGAGAUAAGUGCUGAAAGCAUCUAAGCACGAAACUUGCCCCGAG